ACAGAACAUCUGCUUCCAAGUAGGCGGAGUCGAAAUUUGUGGAGAUCCAUCCAUAAGUGGCAAAAGAGAUGAACAGAACAUCUGCUUCCACGUAGGCGGAGUCGAUAUCUGUGGAGAUCCAUCCAUAAGUGGCAAAAGAGACGCAAUGGACAAAAGAAUCCUUCCUUGUUAUUACAUCGAUUGUGUUAGAACCUGUGUACCUGGAAUCAAAAGAGAGGAAGACCUGACCCUAGCAGAGAUUGUUGCCAACAUCGGAAAAGUUGUCCACGUCAUUGAUCAAUUUGUUGGUGGAGCCGCUACAAAGAGAGAGGAACAAGAUAUUGAUGCUUGUUAUAUGUUUGGUUGUCAGAAAGUUUGCCUACAAGGUACAGUAACUACUGUUUGCUAAAGAGAGAAAUGGGAUAAUUCAUCAAAUUAAAAAAAUUGAGUAGAUUUACUUGAUUAAACAAUAAAACUCA